GACGUAGGUGGCGAACGUUAUCCGGAAUUACUGGGCGUAAAGGGCGCGUAGGCGGUCUUGUAAGUCUUGUGUGAAAUCCCUCGGCUUAACUGAGGAACUGCACGGGAUACUGCGAGACUUGAGAUCGGGAGAGGGAAGCGGAAUUCCGGGUGUAGCGGUGAAAUGCGUAGAUAUCCGGAGGAACACCGGUGGCGAAGGCGGCUUCCUGGACCGACACUGACGCUGAGGCGCGAAAGCUAGGGGAGCAAACGGG
rnacentral:rRNA from 1 species